UCCUCAUCAGAAUGCUUAGGCAUUUGUUGCCAUGCGCUUGCGCAGUGUGAAGGAGAGAGGAGAUGAGCUGCACAUGCAGGCUGAGAAGUGAGAUAAAUGUGAUUGUUUUUGGUGAUCGGCAACAAGAGACAGUGAUCGGCGAUACACUUUUUCACGGAAAUCGACCGAUUAUGAUUGGUAGCCGAUCGAUCGGCACA